rnacentral:misc_RNA from 1 species
CCUCCUUAUACGAUUUAGAACUUAUUUGUUCGUAGUGUCCACACAGAUGAUUGUUAGUUAGUUUUACCCUCUGGGUUAACUAAUUAAUAUGCUCUUUAAAAAUUUGGAAAAGCUGAUAAUAAAAUUCGUAUGAAUACAUUGUAUUUGUACAGAGUUUUCAAAAGUAAAAAAGAAUGAUAGCAGUAUCAUUCAGUGCCAUUUAAUGAACGUUUUACGUUUGUUGAUUGGUAUCUACUUUAGUAUUCAAUAUUAACUUCUGGCGAAGUUAAACUGUCACGAAACAAAGACACCUUCCGGUUGUAUGGGUUAAUGACUAAGCGUACACCGUGGAUGCA